CGGAUGAGGAUUGUCCUAGACACUGUGACAAGACACAGGGCCGAAGAAGCAAACCGGGAGGUACAUCUUACUCCCGCGGAAACUGACAGGCAAAAGAAAGACAAUCGGACGAAUCUUUGGAGAGCAUGCCGGGUACGACACUGCGGCAUCACCUACGAGGCUAGAACCAACUGGUAAAAGGACAGAGG
rnacentral:ncRNA from 1 species